rnacentral:rRNA from 1 species
UACGUAGGCAGCGAGCGUUGUUCGGAAUUACUGGGCGUAAAGAGUGUGUAGGCGGUGUUCCCAGUCUGUUGUGAAAUCUCCCGGCUUAACUGGGAGGGUGCAGCGGAAACUAGAAUGCUAGAGGGUGGGAGAGGUAAGCGGAAUUCCUGGUGUAGCGGUGAAAUGCGCAGAUAUCAGGAGGAACACCGGUGGCGAAGGCGGGUCUCUGGGCCGAUACUGACGCUGGGAG